CACUUUUUAGUCACUGGCUUUCAUCACUGUUUUUUGUCUUUUUAUAUUUUUAUUUUCAAGCUUUUAGAGGGGAACCACGUCCUCAGGGCUUCUAAACCCGGUAUUUUCAAGCUUUUAGAGGGGAACCUCGUCCUCAGGGCUUCCAAACCCGGUAUUUUCAAGCUUUUAGAGGGGAACCACGUCCUCAGGGCUUCUAAACCCAGUAUUUUCAAGCUUUUAGAGGGGAACCUCGUCCUCAGGGCUUCCAAACCCGGUAUUUUCAAGCUUUUAGAGGGGAACCUCGUCCUCAGGGCUUCCAAACCCAGUAUUUUCAAGCUUUUAGAGGUGAACUACGUCCUCAGGGCUUCUAAACCCGGUAUUUUCAAGCUUUUAGAGGGGAACCACGUCCUCAGGGCUUCUAAACCCAGUAUUUUCAACCACUCGUCAGCGAUCCAGGCUUAUACCAAACCGUCCAGGCUAUUUGCCAGCCUAAGAAACUGUUGCCUAACAGGGAUUACAUUACACUUAGGGUUGCAGAAUAGGCCCUCUGCUCUAUCCACCUUUUGGAGGGACUCCUAAACCCCCCGGGUUUUCUAACCCAGAACAGAGUAUCCAGCCAGAGAUUCUAUCCUCUGUGGAUCAGUGACUUUUUCCCUUUCCAUUAACCUUAGCGCUUCUUCAUCAUUUUCAUCCUUUUUAUUUCCAUUAACCUUAGCACUUCUUCAUCAUUUUCAUCAUUUUAUUUCUUCCAGAAGCACAUUCAAUUUUGUAUACUAGAACACACAGGAGGAAUUCUGACAACAGUUUUGGAAUAGCCAAUAGCAGACUUUGAUGUCAACAGGCGUCUGCUUACCUUUUAUUGGGCGCCCAAGUUGUCAGAAAGUCCUUUGUAUGUCCGUUGUUUGUUCAAAUGUACAUCUAUUGUCAAUUCUCCUUCUCCAUCCGGGUCACGGCACCAAAUUGUUGGAAAUCAGCCUAUCCUACAAUUAAACAAACAAAUAAAAUAUGUGUAAGGCUGUUUCCGCCCAGUUCUUUUGAUGGAGUAGUCAGGAGACUUCUUCUUAAAAUCAAAAGUAUUUAUUACAGCAAAAUUGAAUGUGAAUACAGAGCUCUGGGCCUGAAUCCUCUGUCCCUAACCGACAAUAAGUGUUCAGUCAGUUCGGAUGGAAUCAGACUGCUAACUGUUCCUGACCCAGUCUUCUUAUACUCUAACAGUGUGUAUAGCUAUCUAUCAAGGCCGGCCGCCCCUUCCGAUGCUGUGUUGUUCCGCUGUCCUCUGUCACAGCUGAUGUUUUGUCAUUACGCUCACGUAGGAAUGACUUCGCUUCUGCAAAGCAAGAUUAGAAACUGCACAUACAACUCGCUCAUGUUCUUUACUGAUUACAGCUUACGUCAAAAACUAUCUGUACCUUUAUUAUCAAAAACUGUCUGUACUUUGAUUAUCAAUCACUUUAUGUCUUGAUCAUCCUUGGUUUCAAUCACAUGAGUAAUAAGUAAAAUAAAGCUGGACUUAUCUUCUUUGUUUCAUUACAGUCACACCGUGGUAAUGAUGCUCUUCACCUUCCUAUUCCUCAGAACCAAUACAACUCUUUAAUAUGCACACUGAGCAAUUAUAAAACACACCAUUUCCCACAGUACCCCCGGACAUCCAACAUUUUCUGAGCCAUGGUGAGUUCUAUUCCACUUUGCAGUCUACAGGGAGGCAGGGCCGUGCGGCCCAAUAGGCAGAAUAGUCAAAUGCUAGGGCCACAAAGCCAGCCGGGGGGCGUCACCGCAGGUUUUUUUGUUUGUUUGUUUGUUUGUUUGUUUGUUUUAGAUGAAGAAGAAGAAAAUAGGCACCGGUAGAUCCGUGUUGACAGUGACUGAUACACCGAACUUCCAAAAUGAAGAGGCAAAAGCCCUCUGGAGCUCAUUUCAGAAAAAAACGUAAAGGAGAUGAGGAGAAGCAAGAAAGAAGUCGAGAUUCACCUCUGAAAUAUUUAUCUUCCACUCCUGCCACUACUGGAUCAACAGCAGCCUCCACAUCCACCUUGGUACCCAGUGAUGGAGGGCUCUCUGACACCCAACCUGGAAGCAGUGAAAACAUACCCACAGUCCCCUCUACAUCAGACCAGCCUGUUAUUGAUUAACAGGCUGGUGCACCUAUAGGUUUCCCAAAGACUAUGGGUUGAGGAAGAAGUGGGAAGCAGCUCUGAGGAGAGAGGGGUUUGCUGUAAAUAUAUAGCAGCCCAGAGAGAGAUAAUUGUAAUUGUGUUGUUUAUUGUAAAUGCAAAUAAACUAUCCUGUUCUAGUCUAGUUCCUUGUUAUAUGUAAAUAACUGCCUAUAUAUAUACACACACACACACACACACACACACAGUAUACAGUGGGUACGGAAAGUAUUCAGACCCCUUGAACUUUUUCACUCUGUGUCAUUGCAGCCAUUUGCCAAAAUCAAAAAAGUUCAUUUUAUUUCUCAUUAAUGUACACUCAGCACCCCAUCUUGACAGAAAAAAAAAACAGAAAUGUAGAAAUUUUUGCAAAUGUAUUCAAAAAGAAAAACUGAAAUAUCACAUGGUCAGAAGUAUUCAGAGCCUGUGCUCAGUACUGAGUAGAAGCUCCUUUUCAGCUCGUACAGCCAUGAGUCUUCUUGGGAAUGAUGCAACAAGUUUUUCACACCUGGAUUUGGGGAUCCUCUGCCAUUCUUCCUUGCAGAUCGUCUCCAGUUCUGUCAGGUUGGAUGGUGAACGUUGGUGGACAGACAUUCUGAGGUCUCUCCAGAGAUGCUCAAUUGGGUUUAGGUCAGGGCUCUGGCUGGGCCAGUCAAGAACGGUCACAGAGUUGUUGUGAAGCCACUCCUUUGUUAUUUUAGCUGUGUGCUUUGGGUCAUUGUCCUGUUGAAAGGUGAACCUUCGGCCCAGUCUGAGGUCCUGAGCACUCUGGAAGAGGUUUUCCUCCAGGAUAUCUCUGUACUUGGCCGCAUUCAUCCUUCCUUCAAUUGCAACCAGUCGUCCUGUCCCUGCAGCUGAAAAACACCCCCCCCCCCCCCACAGCAUGAUGCUCCCACCACCAUGUUUCACUGUAGGGAUUGUAUUGGGCAGGUGAUGAGCAGUGCCUGCUUUUCUCCACACAUACCGCUUAGAAUUAACACCAAAAAGUUCAAUCUUGGUCUCAUCAGACCAGAGAAUCUUAUUUCUCAUAGUCUGGGAGUCCUUCAUGUGUUUUUUUUCAAACUCUAUGCGGCUUUCAUGUGUCUUGCACUGAGGAGAGGCUUCCAUCGGGCCACUCUGCCAUAAAGCCCCGACUGGUGGAGGGCUGCAGUGAUAGUUGACUUUGUGGAACUUUCUCCUAUCUCUCGACUGCAUCUCUGGAGCUCAGCCACAGUGAUCUUUGGCUUCUUCUUUACCUCUCUCACCAAGGCUCUUCUCCCACCAUUGCUCAGUUUGGCUGGACGGCCAGGUCUAGGAAGAGUUGUGGUCGUCCCAAACUUCUUCCAUUGGAGGAUUAUGGAGGCCACUGUGCUCUGAGGAACCUUGAGUGCUGCAGAAAUUCUUUUGUAACCUUGUCCAGAUCUGUGCCUUGCCACAGUUCUGUCUCUGAGCUCCUUGGGCAGUUCCUUCCACCUCAUGAUUCUCAUUUGCUCUGACAUGCACUGUGAGCUGUAAGGUCUUAUAUAGACAGGUGUGUGCCUUUCCUAAUCAAGUCCAAUCAGUUUAAUUAAACACAGCUGGACUCCAAUAAAGAAGCAGAACCAUCUCGAGGAGGAUCAGAAGAAAUGGACAGCAUGUGAGUUAAAUAUGAAUGUCGCUGCAAAGGCUCUGAAUACUUCUGACCAUGUGAUAUUUCAGUUUUUAUUUUUUAAUACAUUUGCAAAAAUUUCUACAUUUCUGUUUUUUCUGUCAAGAUGGGGUGCUGAGUGUACAUUAAUGAGAAAUAAAAUGAACUUUUUUGAUUUUGGCAAAUGGCUGCAAUGACACAGAGUGAAAAAUUUCAAGGGGUCUGAAAACUUUCCCUACCCACUGUGUAUAUAUCUAUAUCUAUCUAUAGAUAGAUAGAUAGAUAGAUAGAUAGAUAGAUAGAUAUAAAUUAAUAUUAAUAAAUAAAUAGAUUACAUUUGCAAGUAAAUGUUUUGAUCUCAAAACAUUUUCUACAUGUCUAAAUAUUUACAUUUAUAUAUGCAAUGGCUGAACUGAAAAGAUUCCCUGGCCUUUGGACCUAAAUAAUAAGAUAACUAAAAUUGCAGGCUACAUUUGUAGGAAGCCUUUUUCUGUGUUUGUUUUUUUCAGAUCAAAUAUUCUCUAUCAAUAGCACAUGUCAUGAGACAGCUCCAUCAAUGUCAUCCAGGAGUAUCCAGGAUGAAAGAAUUGGCUAGGAGUUAUGUGUGGUGGCCACAGAUGGACAAGGAACUGGAGGAGAUGGUCAAGGGUUGUGCAACAUGUCAGAAGCACCGUAACCUACCUGCACCAGCUCCAUUACACCCUUGGGACUGGCCUGACAAGCCCUGGAGUCGUAUUCAUGUGGAUUAUGCAGGACUGUUUAUGGGAAAUGUUUUUUGUGCUCUCAGAUGCACAUUCAAAAUGGAUGGAUGUGUAUCCAUUGACCUCUGCCACUUCAGCUGCUACAAUUGAGUGCCUGCAUACCAGUUUCAGUAACCAUGGACUGCCUGAGUUGUUAGUGUCUGAUAAUGGCACUUGUUUCACCAGCACAGAGUUUAAGGACUUUCUAAAGAAAAAUGGUAUCCGCCAUGUGACCUCUGCACCUUACAUGCCUCCAGUAAUGGGUUAGCAGAGAGAGGGGUACAGACAUUCAAGAGGAUGAUGAAAAAACAUCCAGAAGGAACACUGACAACCAAGGUAGCCAGAGUUUUAUUCAGCUACAGAGUGACUCCGCACACCACAACAGGUCUUUCGCCGGCGGAGCUACUUCUUGGAAGGAAACUACGUUGCACCCUGGACUCAAUUCAUCCAGACCUGAACAGGAAAGUGCAGAAAUAUCAAGAAAGACAAAUAAGACAUCACGACAAAAAGGCAAAAGGAUGUGGGUUCAAACCUGGUCACUCUGUAGUGACUCAGAACUUCAGUCUGGGACCGAAGUGGAUUCCAGGAAUCAUAGAGUCUGUGACUGGACCAGUGUCAUACACAGUGAUGUUGGGUGAUGGGAGAGUUGCUAGGCGACAUUUGGACCAGAUCCAUGCUCACCACCCUGGAUCAGUGAACAGCAACGAGGAACAUGAAGCUAUCCUACCUCAGAUCAGUCAGGCUGUCACAGAGGAGGAGAUCUGUCUGGAUGCUGAUGAGGUGUUGGUCAGUGGUGAUAGAUCAGAGAAGCCAGUAACCUCAGAUGCUGCAAGAAUCUCAGACAGAUAAACUGACUGAGACACAGACAAGUCCAGUGAGGAGGUCAAAAAGGGAAACUAAGAAGCCAAGUUAUCUUAAAGACUUCCAGCUGAACUAAGAGAGACAGACAUUAACAGUGUUAAAAAAAAACAAACAGAAACAAAACAAAACAUGGUGUUACAAUGUUCCUGUGUGAUUUAUUAAAUCUGCUUAAGAGGGGAGGGAUGUUGUAACUGGGAAAUACUGGUGUUGCAGGAGUGUCCACUAGGUGGCAAUGUUACCUCGGGUGUCGCUGGUAGUCAGUAGGAAGUUGCAGAGCAAGGACUGUAUCUUUUUUUUCUGUUGUUGUUGUUGUUGUUUUAUUUCAAAAAGUCACAGACAACAUCCAACAUCAACAUGAUAUUGAAGCAUACAGUGACAGAGUUAACAAAAAUCAUUUUGAAAAAAAGGAAGAGAAGAAAGAAAAGAUAGAAAACAAAAACAAACCACAAAAACAAAAAAGAAAAAAAACAGCUGAGCAAAUAUAACAUUUAUAGCAAAUUAAUUUUUUUUUACAAAUGUUAACAGUUUUUAUUGCUUUCUGGUUAUCAGAUGGGGCUAUUGACUUCAAGUAAUAUUCAAAUUCUUUAUGGAAGACAAGAUAAUUUUGCUUUUGAUUACUGAAUUUUGCCUUAUGAAUAUGAAAUUUUACCAAUAUUAAUAUGAGAUUGAUAAUAAAGGCCUUGUCUUUUUCAUAUCCAUCCUGUGCAUGAACUCCAAAAAUGAUGUGUUUGUAGAGCAAAUCAAUCUGCAGAUUUAGUUUUUCUAUACAAAAUUUUUAAAUUUCCUUCCAUAUUUUUCUGCUGUAACUACAAUAAUAAAAAAUGUGGAACUGUUUCUGGCUGUUCAGAGCAAAAAGAACAUCUUACAUCUAUAUCCUGUUUGAACUUAGUCAUAGAAUGUUUUGUGGGAUAGCUUUUAUGCAAGAUUUUAAAGGAAAUUUCCUUAACUUUGUUUGUUAACAUGAAUUUGUGAGGUAAAAGCCAAACCUGAGACCAGAGAUAUUAUUAAUAAAAGAGUUCCAGUCAUGGAUAACAUCAGGUUUUGUCGUUUCUCUUUGGAACAGUGCACGUAUAGCUCUGUUGCUGUUCUUUGCCGUCCCAAAGCAUAUUUAGCCACAAUAAGUGUCACAUGGAUUAACAACAUGUAUAUCUGCUGCAAGAGAGGAGGCAGUGCACAGAGUCACAACAGCAGCUGGAAUGGAGCUAAUGACCUUUGGAAACUCUUCAAGUGUUGAAGGGAAUGGAGACUUUUCACAGAAUUCAGUGUCAUUCAUAAAAUGGCCACUAGGGGUCAGAAGCUGUCAGACUAAGUAAAUUUUGUUGUUAAAGCAGCUAUUGAGAAAGAUGCUUUUAUUUUGAUGCAGUAUAUCCCCAUUAUUCCAGAGAUAAUACCGAUGUGGAGAGAAAUUGUGCUUGUAGGCCGUUUUCCACGACAACAAAACCUGUUUGUGAAAACUGGAUAAUUUUAGGGGAAUCUUGUUUAUUUGGUAGCUACAAACCAACAGAAAAGGGAGUCCUCCAGUUUGAUGAAAUACACAUUUAGGAAUAAAGUUCUAUAAAGAUGCAUCAUUUUUAAGAAAGAUUUGAACCAUUUGAUCUGAAGAACAUUGUUUAGAAUUGAAAAAUCAACAAAGUGGAGGCCUCCAUUUUUGUAGUUGUUCAGAAUUCCAGAUUUUCUGAUCUAGUGUGUACGGUUUUUCCACAGAAAAUGAACAAGCAUCUUAUCAAUAAAUGUGACAGUUUUACAGUCCAGUGCCAGUGAGGAGGCGGCAUACACAAGUCUGGAAAUUCCCUCAGCUUUUGACAGAAGAGUUCACCUUUAAGUGAGAAGUCUCUUUGUAGCCAAAGCUUCCAUUUAUUCUGCACCUUUUUAAUCCUUGGCUCAAAGUUGAGAUGGCAUCUCUCUCACUGAUUUUUAGUUCCAGUAAUCCCUAAAUAGUUAACCUUACUCUUUACUCGUCUAUCAUCAAUUGAGGUUAUAUCAGAACUUUAGAGAGUGAAUAGCUCACACUUAUUUAGGUUUAAGUACAAACCUGAUGCUUUAGAAAACAUCUGGAUUGCAUUAAUUGCAGGCUUUAUCUGUAGGGCAUUCUUUAAAAAUAAUUCUGUAUCAUCAGCCAACUGACUUCAAAGUCUGCUUCUAGCAGCAAUAGAGAUGCCUUCCAACUGACAGAAUUUGACAAAACAUUUGAGCAACAACCAGGAAGAGGUAAACUGAGACAGGGCAGCCCUGUCUUAGCCCUCUUUCCAAACAAAAUCUCUGAGUUGUGCCAUUACUCAGUUUUACCGAGCUAUUGGCGCCAGCAUAGAAUGUUUUCAUCACACUGCAAAAGUAUGGCCCAAAACCAAAGCUGUUAAGACCAGAAAAAAUAAACGAGUGUUCAACUGCAUCAAAGGCUUUGUGAAAACCUAAAAAUAAAACUGUCAUCCCAAAUAAGGUCAGCAUCGUCUAUGAGGUCUAAAACUAACCUAAUGUUAUUGAAAAUAUGCCUGUUACUCAUAACCCCAGACUGAUUCUCAUCGAUAAUAGAAUUAAGAACAUGUUAAAUCUUUUAGCAAAAACAAGAGCAAGAACUUUAUAAUCAGUGUUCAAUAAUGAAAUUGGUCUCCAAUUAUCAACAAAGAGAAGGUCCUUUUUUGGUUUAGGAACUAAAGUAAUCAAGCCUUGUGUCAUAUACUGACAGUCAAUAUAAUCUUUGAGGUAGAAAUGUACCCAGAAUUCUACUUGUAGGGGGGUUGUAAUUAUUCAUUGUGGAUUUACUGAUGAUCUAGUGCCCUGGUAGUUGAGAUAAUGAUGAGUUGUCAUUUUGUCAUGAUUCAUUGCACAUGGGUUGGUCACUUUGCAAAAGUGAACCAAAUACACACCAAGCAAUACUCAGUGAGUAUCUGCAUAAUGUGAGAAUGGGUUUGAAGGCCUAUAUAAAGGCCCAAAAAAGGCCACCAUUGUUAGUCCAGUGAACAGCAUCAUGCCGCGUCUAUCACAUGAACAACGUCUCCGGGCACUGGGUAUGGUGGAGGCCGCUUUGAGCUACAGUGAUGUAUCCAGGCGUAUGGGCUGUUCCCAACCCACAAUCAGAAGCCUGGUCCAAAGCAUGCGCCGACGGAUUGCUGCCUGCAUCCAAGCAGAUGGAGGCCAUACUCGGUAUUGACUGUUGUGACUUUGUGUUUGGCAGGUGCCGUUUUCUUUUGUGAAAUUCUUUAUUUUGAAAUAAUUCUUGAAACUUUAGAUUUUUGUUUCUGUAUGCCAAUAUGCUAAACAAAUGAUUCAGGUGAAGAAAAUCCAGUUUGGGGCUUCAAAAUAAAAAUUAUGUUGAAAAA